rnacentral:rRNA from 1 species
UACAGAGGUCUCGAGCGUUGUUCGGAUUCAUUGGGCGUAAAGGGUGCGUAGGUGGCGCCGUAAGUCAGGUGUGAAAUCUCGGGGCUCAACCCCGAAACUGCACUUGAUACUGCGGUGCUCGAGUACUGGAGAGGAGAUUGGAAUUUACGGUGUAGCAGUGAAAUGCGUAGAUAUCGUAAGGAAGACCAGUGGCGAAGGCGAAUCUCUGGACAGUUACUGACACUGAGGCACGAAGGCCAGGGGAGCAAACGGG